CAGCCGCCGCGGGAAUACGUAGGUGGCAAGCGUUGUCCGGAAUUAUUGGGCGUAAAGGGCUCGCAGGCGGUUUCUUAAGUCUGAUGUGAAAGCCCCCGGCUCAACCGGGGAGGGUCAUUGGAAACUGGGAAACUUGAGUGCAGAAGAGGAGAGUGGAAUUCCACGUGUAGCGGUGAAAUGCGUAGAGAUGUGGAGGAACACCAGUGGCGAAGGCGACUCUCUGGUCUGUAACUGACGCUGAGGAGCGAAAGCGUGGGGAGCAAACAGGAUUAGAUACCCCCGUAGUCCCUGUCUCUUAUAC
rnacentral:rRNA from 1 species